rnacentral:misc_RNA from 1 species
AACUUUUAACAACGGAUCACUUGGUUGUGGCAUCGAUGAAGAACGCAGCGAAAUGCGAUAAGUAGUGUGAAUUGCAGAAUUCAGUGAAUCAUCGAAUCUUUGAACGCACAUUGCGCCCCUUGGUAUCCCGAGGGGCAUGCCGGUUCGAGCGUCAUUUCACCACUCAAGCCUAGCUUGGUGUUGGGCGACGUCCCUUUUGGACCCGCCUCGAAACGCUCGGCGGCGUGGCACCGGCUUUAAGCGUAGCAGCAUCUUUCGCUUUGAAGGUCGGGGCCCCGUCUGCCGGAAGACCCACUCGCAAGGUUGACCUCGGAUCAGGUAGGGAUACCCGCUGAACUUAAGCAUAUCAAUAAGCGGAGGCU